rnacentral:rRNA from 1 species
GACGAACGCUGGCGGCGUGCUUAACACAUGCAAGUCGAACGGUAAGGCCUUCGGGCACACGAGUGGCGAACGGGUGAGUAACACGUGGGUGAUCUGCCCCGCACUUCGGGAUAAGCCUGGAAGCUGGGUCUAAUACCGGAUAGGACCCCUCAUCACAUGGUGGGGGGUGGAAAGCUUUUGUGGUGUGGGAUGGGCCCGCGGCCUAUCAGCUUGUUGGUGGGGUGAUGGCCCACCAAGGCGACGACGGGUAGCCGGCCUGAGAGGGUGUCCGGCCACACUGGGACUGAGAUACGGCCCAGACUCCUACGGGAGGCAGCAGUGGGGAAUAUUGCACAAUGGGCGCAAGCCUGAUGCAGCGACGCCGCGUGGGGGAUGACGGCCUUCGGGUUGUAAACCUCUUUCAGCACAGACGAAGCGAGAGUGACGGUAGGUGCAGAAGAAGGACCGGCCAACUACGUGCCAGCCGCCGCGGUAA